GAUGAACGCUGGCGGCGUGCCUAAUACAUGCAAGUCGAGCGAACAGACGAGGAGCUUGCUCCUCUGACGUUAGCGGCGGACGGGUGAGUAACACGUGGCUAACCUACCUAUAAGACUUGGAUAACUUCGGGAAACCGGAGCUAAUAACGGAUAAUAUAUUGAACCGCAUGGUUCAAUAGUGAAAGACGGUUUUGCUGUCACUUAUAGAUGGAUCCGCGCCGCAUUAGCUAGUUGGUAAGGUAACGGCUUACCAAGGCAACGAUGCGUAGCCGACCUGAGAGGGUGAUCAGCCACACUGGAACUGAGACACGGUCCAGACUCCUACGGGAGGCAGCAGUAGGGAAUCUUCCGCAAUGGGCGAAAGCCUGAUGGAGCAACGCCGCGUGAGUGAAGAAGGUCUUCGGAUCGUAAAACUCUGUUAUUAGGGAAGAACAAAUGUGUAAGUAACUAUGCACGUCUUGACGGUACCUAAACAGAAAGCCACGGCUAACUACGUG
rnacentral:rRNA from 1 species